AGGCGCGUAGCUCAGUUGGUUAGAGCACUGUGUUCACAUCGCAGGGGUCGGCGGUUCGAGUCCGCCCGCGCCUACCA
rnacentral:tRNA from 1 species